UGGCGAGUCGUCUAGCCGGUAGGACGACGGAUUCUGGCUCCGUCAACAUAGGUUCGAACCCUAUCUCGCCAGCCA
rnacentral:tRNA from 1 species